AACGAACGCUGGCGGCAUGCCUAACACAUGCAAGUCGAACGAAGGCUUCGGCCUUAGUGGCGCACGGGUGAGUAACGCGUGGGAAACUGCCUAUUGGUGGGGAAUAACGACGGGAAACUGUCGCUAAUACCGCAUAAGCCCUUCGGGGGAAAGAUUUAUCGCCGAUAGAUGUGCCCGCGUCCGAUUAGCUAGUUGGUGAGGUAAUGGCUCACCAAGGCGACGAUCGGUAGCUGGUCUGAGAGGAUGAUCAGCCACACUGGGACUGAGACACGGCCCAGACUCCUACGGGAGGCAGCAGUGGGGAAUAUUGGACAAUGGGCGAAAGCCUGAUCAGCAAUGCCGCGUGAGUGAUGAAGGCCUUAGGGUUGUAAAGCUCUUUCGGGUGGGACGAUGAUGACGGUACCACCAGAAGAAGCCCCGGCUAACUUCGUGCCAGCAGCCGCCGCCG
rnacentral:rRNA from 1 species